GUGUGGUUUUUAAAGAAAUAUUAAAAUCGCUAUCAGUGUAAUAAAAAGUAAUUUUUAGUUGGAUAGUGUGGAGCUUUAAUAAACGUUAUUUAACUUAAUUUAUAGGGUGUGGUCCUCCCUGGCAGGGCCGACUGCCUGCUCGUAAAGGGAUCCCUAUAGGACAAGGCAGAUGAUUGCCAUUUUUGUUCUCCCCAUACCUUCUCAGUGUGAGCAUCACUGGCACAUGUGCAAGUGGCUGCCCAGGUUGUCACGGCAACCAAAAGGCCUCCUUGCCUUCGCCCCUCCAACCUUUAACAUGUUGUGCAAACCCACGCACGAUUCCUAAAAAACAAGCCCCACUUUGUUCAGUGGGGCUUACUGCCGGGGAAGGGUGCAAACGGCUGCAGCCUCAGUCGCAGAAAACGAGCACUGGAGCGCAUGUUCAUUAGCUGAGCAGAUUUGAGGGUGGGGAUAGGAGAAGUUUUACAUCGCCCUCCUCCUCUCUCUCAUGGGUCGGCGGUGUGGCUGUGCAGGUGUACACACUGAGCAGGGAACAAAGCGAAAAAAUGCCUUUGCGAGGCCCUGCGGCGAUUCCUCUCUGCCGCCAUGCAGGGAAGGAUCACGGCCACUUGUUUUUCUUUUGAGGUGCAUUUUUAAAAACAUUCAUUUCCAAGGAAUUUACAAUCCAAGUAGAAAAAAGGACUAUUAUGACAUUUUAACAUUGUUGUUCGAAUAUGAUAAAAAAAAUAUUUACUAUCUUCCCUAGUAAUCUGACCCCUUUGCUUCUCUGUAUUGUUGCUGUAAUCUUUUUUUUUUUUCCCUUCCCUUGCCCGGAUGUCUUUUUUUUUGCUAACCUUUCAUCUGUUGUUGGUGGGGCAGUCCGGUGCCCACGAGCGACUUCCAGUACUUUAGUCAAUGUCGUUUGAUAGCAGCCAGUGAACAAAUCAUAAAAUAUCUGGUUAGUCAAAUGUCUUUGGUUUCAGCCGUUGGUCAGUCUUGCAUUUAUGCACUUGGAACGGUAGCCUACCAUAAAAGGUAAAGGUAAAGGGACCCCUGACCGUUAGGUCCAGUCGUGGCAGACUCUGGGGUUGUGGCGCUCAUCUCACUUUACUGGCCGAGGGAGCCGGCGUACAGCUUCCAAGUCAUGUGGCCAGCAUGACUAAGCCGCUUCUGGCGAACCAGAGCAGCAGAAAUGCCGUUUACCUUCCCGCCGGAGCGGUACCUAUUUAUCUACUUGCACUUUGACGUGCUUUCAAAUUGCUAGGUUGGCAGGAGCAGGGACUGAGCAACAGGAGCUCACCCCGUUGCAGGGAUUCGAACCGCCGACCUUCUGAUCAGCAAGUCCUAGGCUCUGUGGUUUAACCCACAGCGCCAUCUGCGUCCCUAGCCUACCAUAGACAAGGAAUAAUUGCAUGCCGGCAAGGGAGUUGACCAGUGGAGAUGUGGAUAAUAAUAAUUUAUUAUUUGUACCUCGCCCAUCUGGCUGGGCUUCCCCAGCCACUCUGGGCGGCUUCCAACAAAGAUUAAAAAUACCACACCUCUGUGCCCAUCCAAGAAACCAAGAAGGCUUUUAGAGGAGGGACAGUGGUGGACCCCAGCUCCCUUCUGCCUUGAGUAACCCGGCCGGUUCUCAGGGCUGGUGGGAGUUGGGAGUCUAGCGAGACCCAACCAGGUUCCCUAUCCCUGGUUUAUGCCUUUGCCGACCUGAUGCCCUUGAAGAUAUUUUGGACUACAACUCCCAUCAGCCCUAGCCUGCGAAGGCUGAUGGGAACUGGAGUCCAAGCCAUCGGGUUGGUGAAGGCUGCUGUAGAUAAUUGCAGAAGUGGCAUUCAAGAUGUGAACACAGAGCCCAGGCAGAGGGAAAUGCUCAGAAGAAAUGCUUCACCAUAGGGAUGACCUUAACAAGCCGUGAAAAUUUUAUACCGUGUCUUGAUGGCCAUUUUAUAGACCUACUAUGGAUCAUCUCCGCUACAGUUUAUUGCAAGCUUAUUCCUAACUUUUCCAGCGGCAAAUGGUUCUACAUUACAGUGGUGCCUUGGUUUAGUUUAUGAACAACUUGGAUUAAGAACACUGCAAACCCGGAAGUAGGUGUUUUGGUUUGUGAACUUUGCCUUGGAAGCAGAACAUGUUCCGCUUCCUGCUGAGUGUGUUCCAUUUGUAAACUGAGUCCCCCGCUGCUAUGGGAAAGCACACCUUGGUUUAAGAACGCUUUGGUUUAAGAACGGACUUCCGGAACGGAUUAGGUUUGUAAACCAAGGUACCACUGUAUAGGUGACGAGGUUAUCCACAGCUGGGAAAUAGCAAAUUGUUGCAGGUUUCACUAACCUCCUGUAGCUUAAUAUGAAGCCCUAGGAGAUCACCAGGAGCACCAUAUGGGUAGUGUCGUGGCUGAUAUUCUCAGUUGUAUUUUAACCAUAUUUGCAAAAGCACUGAAUUUGACAGAGCAGCUUUCUCUUGGUGGAACACAUUUCUGUUCCUUCCCCUAUCUAAUAAAAUUCCAGAACACUUAAAUCUGGAAUGAAUUUUUGAUUUGUGCCAGGCUCUUGCACUCAUAGCUGUCAACUUUUCCCUUUUCUUGCGAGGAAUCCUAUUCGGAAUAAGGGAAUUUCCCUUUAAAAAAGGGAAAUGUUAUCAGCUAUGCUUGCACUCUGCCUUAUUUUGAGAGACUGGGAAUUGACCAUUUCAAGGUUUUCACCUACUGCUAAGGAUGCCUCCUUUAUACCCUCCCAGUCCCUAAGGACAACAGAAACAGGGCCUUUUAUUACUAUAUAUUUGCUGAUCCCCAAGCUCUGAGGUAGGUAACGCCAAUAGUACAGUAUGUAAGACUGGAUGCAUUUACAAAAAUCAACACAAUAAUUUUUUUAAGUUUCCCCAUCAUGUUAUAUACUGUAUUUUUUCAACCCCAAGUAAGAAUGCAGCGUUGAUGUGACUUGAUUUUGUAUUUGCCUCUCAUUAUGUUCCAAUCUCCUGUUGAUGUGGGUUUUUCGAGGUAGUCUGUAUGGUUAACCAUCUAGUAUUAAGAUUACGGUACAAUAAAUAAAUAUUGUGAUACUAAUAACUCCAUUGCAUAUACAAAUCAGCAUUUAUAAUGUGUAUACUUAAAAAAAAAAUCCCAUUUUGAACUAGGUGUGCAAAAAAGAGUUGGCCUCAAUCAGUCAUAGUUGAAACUGAUGUGGAACUAAAUUUAAAAAAACCGCUUUCAAAUAAUCUGCCAGAUUUUGGUUUUUUUAACCCUAUGCCACGCUCCCACCAAAAGUGGAGUUGUUGGCAGCAGCCAACUGUCUUCAAUAUUGUAAACCUACCUGUUAUAAUCCUGUAUCUUUUAAGAAACAUAACAGAGGUUAAGAUCAGUUGGCCAAAGCUGAGUGCAAAAUGCAAGACCAGAGAUGGUGCACAGGUUAAGGAAAGGAAGGGCAAAACACUGUUAGCUUGGAAAUCUGGAUUAGCUAGUUGUGGUUACAUGGGGGCAAAGUUCUGAUCUUUGUUACCUGAAGACCACCAAACCAUUUCAUACUGAAGGACACACUCUCAAAGGCAUUGCUAGCAAGGACUGAGAUACCUGUGAACAAGGUAAGGCUUUUCUCUCCAUAUAUAUAGAAGGACCCAGAUAGUGUUAGCUCGAACAGAAAUGUACUCUCUCUUCAUCUUGGCCAGCUGAAUUGAAAGGAGUUAAUUUUGGAAAAAUAUUCUUCCUCCUGGAUUAACUCUCCCUUCGAGCCUUCUCUUUUUAAUUUGUUUAUUGAUCUGUUUUGUUACAUCUCUAUGUCUGCUGUUCUUCUCCUUGUAUUAUUUCUUCAUCUAUUAUCCCUGUAGACUUGGGCUUUUCAAUUUGAAUUUAUUGUAUUCCAGUUUCUUACGAUAGUCAAUAAAAUUUGUUAAAAUGUAUUCCCGGUGUCUCAUCUGUCACGUGGCAACAUCAGUCCGAACCU